UACAGAGGUCUCAAGCGUUGUUCGGAUUCAUUGGGCGUAAAGGGUGCGUAGGUGGCGCGCUAAGUCAGGUGUGAAAUUUCGGAGCUUAACUCCGAAACUGCAUUUGAUACUGGCGUGCUUGAGGACUGGAGAGGAGACUGGAAUUCAUGGUGUAGCAGUGAAAUGCGUAGAGAUCAUGAGGAAGACCAGUGGCGAAGGCGGGUCUCUGGACAGUUCCUGACACUGAGGCACGAAGGCCAGGGGGAGCAAAACGGGG
rnacentral:rRNA from 1 species